rnacentral:misc_RNA from 1 species
UACGGAGGGAGCUAGCGUUGUUCGGAAUUACUGGGCGUAAAGCGCACGUAGGCGGCUUUGCAAGUUAGAGGUGAAAGCCCGGGGCUCAACCCCGGAAUUGCCUUUAAAACUGCAUCGCUAGAAUCCGGGAGAGGUGAGUGGAAUUCCGAGUGUAGAGGUGAAAUUCGUAGAUAUUCGGAAGAACACCAGUGGCGAAGGCGGCUCACUGGACUGGCAUUGACGCUGAGGCGCGAAAGCGUGGGGAGCAAACAGG